ensembl:lncRNA
AUGUACAUGCUGGAGGGAGUAUCGAGGUGGAACAUGGGCCGGGCCAAGGAGGCAGUAGAUGUGGAGGGGGCCUCAACCCUCAGAAGCUUUGAUGUCCGCUUGAUGUCCCACCUCAGCAACUUAAGCCAGCGCGUUCUUGGUUCCACUCUGGUGCCAGAGUUCACUCCACCCGGGAAACCUACUAGCGAGCGCAUAGCAGUGGAGUAUUUAUUGGCCCAGACCAACAGAGGUGACCUGCUGGCUCCAAAUCAGGUCCCUGAGGUCCCCUCGCAGGUACUUGAGGAGGAGGAUGAGCCGGAUGACACCAUCAGCAUGACUGACAUUCUGUGCCAGUCAGCUGCGAUAGGGGCUGGUGAUCCUCCAGGUGCUGUGGUGGGUGACGCUGAACCCGGACCCCUCGUCACACAGGUGCAGGUGCUUGAGGCGGAGGAGGAGGCAGAUGACACCAUCAGCAUGACUGAUCACACAGGUGAUCCUCCAGGUGCUGUGGAGGAUGACGAUGAACCCGGACCCCUCGUCACAGAGACCAGCCAAUGUGACUCAAGGGGCGUUGUGGGAUGGGAUGCGGUUGCUAACCUGGCAGGCUACCUAGUUGGCUUGAAUCGCACCAUCACUGCCUUGUCAAUGAAGGAGGAAGAGGACAUAGUCCAGCUAUAUACAGCUCUCCAUGACAUGGACAAGAAGCAUUCAAGCUACACCCAGAAGGCUAGGAAAAAAGGACAGGCAUCAGGAGGACCAUGGAGAGCACCGAGGAGGCCGAGUGGCUCUGCUCCGGGACAGCAGGCGGCAGAGAGACUAUACAUGACUCACGGCCAAGCAGCCCAGGAUCCCGAACACCACAGGGUCAGUGAGUGUGUCUGCCUCAGACUGGCCAAGGAGUUCGAGCAGUCCCGCAACAGGCCGAAGGACACGAGGGGGAAAACCCUGCCCAUCCCUCAGUCAAUUGUGAGCGUCUACAGCCACAUUAGACAGCUGCUGGAGGACAGCAGGGUUAUCGUGGUCCAGACGGCGCUGGCUCUGGUGCCGGUGAACAACACCACGGUCUCUGCAUGGCUGCUUAGGAGGGACAAGAGGAAGGACAGGAACAUGCUGCUGCAGGGCAAUGUUCUCCCUCAACAGCUAUACCUGGCCAAGGAGCCUCUCCCUUCAUCAAACACUCUCCCGGCUGCCCCUGUGCAACAUGCACAUGAGAUGACAUUUGACGAGCCCGAAAACCGUGAGGGGGAAGCUUUCCCCCGCCAGCGCACUCUAACGGCAAACAAGCCUAAUGUCAUCUCUCCGCCACCUCCACCUCCUCAGUUCCAUCCACAAUUUGGGCCAGCUCCUCCUUUUUCAUAUGCUCCCCCAUUUCCCCACUUUCCAUUUCCCCAUGCUCCUCCUUAUCCGUAUGCUCCCCCCUAUCCGCACAUUCCAUUCACCCAUGCCCCUCCUAUGCCGCAUGCUCCCCCAUUUCCAUCUGCACAUGAUCCUCCUUUACCUCAGGCUCCUCCAUGUCAAGCUCCUCCAGAGUGCCUUCCAGGUGCCCAGCCAAGGCAACGUACCUGGAGGCUGAACAAAGCUGCCCAUGAGGAUGAGGAUCUAAUGGCAAGGGGGGAACCGCCACGGAAGAGGCUGACGAAGGAGAAGUACCACUACACCUGCAAGAAGUGUGGCCAGGACAAAAACAAAAAAACCGGACACACCCAGCUGAAGGGGCGGUGGUACUGUCCAGAGUCAGGACAGACCCUGGAUGACUGGAGGAAGAGUGUAGGCCUUUAGUCACCAUUACUUGUCUCUCUCUCUGUUGUUUGUCGGUCUGUCUCUGUGUUGUUCGUGUCUGUCUCCCUGUGUGAUCCCGACCAAGGCCUCGUAAGCCAGGCCGGUAAGUAUUCUUUUUUUUGGAUACGCCCACACCUGGUCCACUAGUUGGGUGUUAACCUGGUGUGUGUGUGUGUGUGUGUGUGUGUGUGUGUGUGUGUGUGUGUGUGUGUGUGUGUGUGUGUGUGUGUGUGUGUGUGUGUGUGUGUGUAUUCUGUGUAUUCUGUGUAUUCUGUUACAAUAAAGUUCAAUCAUUUUAUUUGAGCCUUCGCGUUUUUAUUUAAUUUCCUCUUGAAUAACAGGACAGUGACAGUGUCAUCCAUUGAAUGUGAUUGUGAAAACCAAAGCCAGAAUCAUUUACAUUUACAUUGAUUCACAAAACCCAACAUCUUUACUGCUCAAUUUGAAAU